rnacentral:rRNA from 1 species
AGAGAGAGACAUGCGCGCAUAUCAAUAAGCGGAGGAAAAGAGGGCUAUUACCUACGCUUAGGAUGUUGACGAGACUGUCGAUCUCAUCUAUACAUGACUCUGCGCAUAUCAAUAAGCGGAGGAAAAGAAACUAACAAGGAUUCCCCUAGUAACGGCGAGUGAAGCGGGAAGAGCUCAAAUUUGAAAUCUUAAAGGGUUUCCCUUUACGAAUUGUAGUUUAAAGAAGUGUUUUCUGUUGAGGUUUUGGUAAAAGUUCUUUGGAAUAGGACAUCAUAGAGGGUGAGAAUCCCGUAUUUGACCUUUACUUUCAACUUUGUGAUACACUUUCAAAGAGUCGGAUUGUUUGGGAAUGCAGUCCAAAAUGGGUGGUAAAUUUCAUCUAAAGCUAAAUAUUGGCGAGAGACCGAUAGCGAACAAGUACCGUGAGGGAAAGAUGAAAAGAACUUUGAAAAGAGAGUUAAACAGUACGUGAAAUUGUCAAAAGGGAAGCGUUUGACACCAGUGUUGUUUUUCUGAAAAUCAAUUAAAGAACUGUUUAUGCUAAGUUGUUUAGACUUUAUCAGCUAACUGUUUAGUUUUGAGCUUUUCUUUAAUGCACUUUUCAGUUAACAAGUCAACAUCAAUUUCUUUUGCUGUAAAAAAGCUUGAGGAAGGUGGCUUGAGAUUCGUCUUAAGUGUUUAUAGCCUCUUGCCUAUGCAGUCGGAGAGAUUGAGGUCUGCAGCGUAGAUCCUUCGGGGCUAAAUGCAUUUGUGCUAAGUUAUAGCAUUUUAUAGACAACUUGUUGACUAUGAUUUGUCUUGUAGCUUACUCGCUUAUGUUAUUUUACCUACGCUUAGGAUGUUGACGCAUGAGAUAUACGC